UACGUAGGGGGCAAGCGUUGUCCGGAUUCAUUGGGCGUAAAGAGCUCGUAGGCGGCUUGGCAAGUCGGGUGUGAAAACUCCAGGCUCAACCUGGAGACGCCACCCGAUACUGCUAUGGCUUGAGUCCGGUAGGGGACCACGGAAUUCCUGGUGUAGCGGUGAAAUGCGCAGAUAUCAGGAGGAACACCAGUGGCGAAGGCGGUGGUCUGGGCCGGAACUGACGCUGAGGAGCGAAAGCGUGGGGAGCGAACAGG
rnacentral:rRNA from 1 species